rnacentral:rRNA from 1 species
GCAAGUCGAACGGUAACAGCAGAGCUUGCUCUGGCUGACGAGUGGCGGACGGGUGCGUAACGCGUGGGAAUCUACCUUGUAGUGGGGGAUAGCCCGGAGAAAUCCGGAUUAACACCGCAUAAUCUCUACGGAGGAAAAGGGGCCUCUUCUUGAAAGCUCCUGCUAUUAGAUGAGCCCGCGUUGGAUUAGCUUGUUGGUAGGGUAAUGGCCUACCAAGGCGACGAUCCAUAGCUGGUUUGAGAGGAUGAUCAGCCACACUGGGACUGAGACACGGCCCAGACUCCUACGGGAGGCAGCAGUGGGGAAUAUUGGACAAUGGGCGAAAGCCUGAUCCAGCAAUACCGCGUGUGUGAAGAAGGCCUGAGGGUUGUAAAGCACUUUCAAUAGAGACGAAAAGCUUAAGGCUAAUACCCUUGAGUCUUGACUUAACCUAUAGAAGAAGCACCGGCUAACUCCGUGCCAGCAGCCGCAGUAAGACGGAGGGUGCAAGCGUUAAUCGGAAUUACUGGGCGUAAAGCGCUCGUAGGCGGCUUGUUAAGUCGGAUGUGAAAGCCCCGGGCUCAACCUGGGAACUGCAUUCGAUACUGGCAGGCUAGAGUAUAGUAGAGGCAAGUGGAAUUCCGGGUGUAGCGGUGAAAUGCGUAGA